GAUGAAGAACGCAGCAAAAUGCGGUAAGUAAUGUGAAUUGCAGAAUUCAGUGAAUCAUCGAAUCUUUGAACGCACAUUGCGCCCGCCAGUAUUCUGGCGGGCAUGCCUGUUCGAGCGUCAUUUCAACCCUCAAGCACAGCUUGGUGUUGGGACUCGCGUUAAUUCGCGUUCCUCAAAUUGAUUGGCGGUCACGUCGAGCUUCCAUAGCGUAGUAGUAAAACCCUCGUUACUGGUAAUCGUCGCGGCCACGCCGUUAAACCCCAACUUCUGAAUGUUGACCUCGGAUCAGGUAGGAAUACCCGCUGAACUUAAGCAUAUCAAUAAGCGGAGGA
rnacentral:misc_RNA from 1 species